GACGAACGCUGGCGGCGUGCUUAACACAUGCAAGUCGAACGGAAAGGCCCUGCUUGCCGGGUACUCGAGUGGCGAACGGGUGAGUAACACGUGGGUGAUCUGCCCUGCACUUCGGGAUAAGCCUGGAAAACUGGGUCUAAUACCGGAUAGGAGCCAUUUUUAGCGUGAUGGUUGGAAAGUUUUUUCGGUGUAGGAUGAGCUCGCGGCCUAUCAGCUUGUUGGUGGGGUAAUGGCCUACCAAGGCGGCGACGGGUAGCCGGCCUGAGAGGGUGGACGGCCACACUGGGACUGGGACACGGUCCUGGCUACUACGGGAGGCAGAAGCGGGGACUAGUGGCAGAUGGGCGGAAGCUUGAUCAAGCCGUACCGCGUGGGUGAAGCAGGCCUUCGGGUUGUAAAGCCCUUUUGUUGUGGAAGAAAAGCAGCGGGAGGAUAGCCCGCUGUUGUGACGGUACCUAAAGAAGAAGCACCGGCUAACUUCGUG
rnacentral:rRNA from 1 species